GACGUAGGGCGCGAGCGUUGUCCGGAUUUAUCGGGUGUAAAGAGCUCGUAGGCGGCUUGUCGCGUCGUCCGUGAAAACUUGGGGCUCAACCCCAAGCUUGCGGUCGAUACGGGCAGGCUAGAGUUCGGUAGGGGAGACUGGAAUUCCUGGUGCAGCGGUGAAAUGCGCAGAUAUCAGGAGGAACACCGGUGGCGAAGGCGGGUCUCUGGGCCGAUACUGACGCUGAGGAGCGAAAGCGUGGGGAGCGAACAGG
rnacentral:rRNA from 1 species